UACAGAGGUCCCAAGCGUUGUUCGGAUUCACUGGGCGUAAAGGGUGCGUAGGCGGUCGGGUAAGUCUGACGUGAAAUCUUCAAGCUCAACUUGGAAACUGCGUCGGAUACUAUUCGGCUAGAGGAAUGGAGGGGAGACUGGAAUACUUGGUGUAGCAGUGAAAUGCGUAGAUAUCAAGUGGAACACCAGUGGCGAAGGCGAGUCUCUGGACAUUUCCUGACGCUGAGGCACGAAAGCCAGGGAGCAAACGGG
rnacentral:rRNA from 1 species